rnacentral:rRNA from 1 species
CCCCCAGUAGCGGCGAGCGAACGGGGAGGAGCCCAGAACCUGAAUCAGCGUAUGUGUUAGUGGAAGCGUCUGGAAAGUCGCACGGUACAGGGUGAUAGUCCCGUACACAAAAAUGCAUAUGUUGUGAGUUCGAUGAGUAGGGCGGGACACGUGACAUCCUGUCUGAAUAUGGGGGGACCAUCCUCCAAGGCUAAAUACUCCUGACUGACCGAUAGUGAACCAGUACCGUGAGGGAAAGGCGAAAAGAACCCCGGCGAGGGGAGUGAAACAGAACCUGAAACCGUGUACGUACAAGCAGUGGGAGCACCUUCGUGGUGUGACUGCGUACCUUUUGUAUAAUGGGUCAGCGACUUAUAUUUUGUAGCAAGGUUAACCGAAUAGGGGAGCCGUAGGGAAACCGAGUCUUAACUGGGCGAAUAGUUGCAAGGUAUAGACCCGAAACCCGGUGAUCUAGCCAUGGGCAGGUUGAAGGUUGGGUAACACUAACUGGAGGACCGAACCGACUAAUGUUGAAAAAUUAGCGGAUGACUUGUGGCUGGGGGUGAAAGGCCAAUCAAACCGGGAGAUAGCUGGUUCUCCCCGAAAGCUAUUUAGGUAGCGCCUCGUGAACUCAUCUUCGGGGGUAGAGCACUGUUUCGGCUAGGGGGUCAUCCCGACUUACCAAACCGAUGCAAACUCCGAAUACCGAAGAAUGUUAUCACGGGAGACACACGGCGGGUGCUAACGUCCGUCGUGAAGAGGGAAACAACCCAGACCGCCAGCUAAGGUCCCAAAGUCAUGGUUAAGUGGGAAACGAUGUGGGAAGGCACAGACAGCCAGGAUGUUGGCUUAGAAGCAGCCAUCAUUUAAAGAAAGCGUAAUAGCUCACUGGUCGAGUCGGCCUGCGCGGAAGAUGUAACGGGGCUAAACCAUGCACCGAAGCUGCGGCAGCGAACGUAUCACUUAAAACGCUUAACGUGACGGAAAAGCCGGCAUUUUCAAGCCACACUAAACGUUGAGUUGGCCGAUGUGCUGACAAACGAACAGGCGUUUUAAGGAUACGUUCGUUGGGUAGGGGAGCGUUCUGUAAGCCGUUGAAGGUGAUCUGUGAGGGUUGCUGGAGGUAUCAGAAGUGCGAAUGCUGACAUAAGUAACGAUAAUGCGGGUGAAAAACCCGCACGCCGGAAGACCAAGGGUUCCUGUCCAACGUUAAUCGGGGCAGGGUGAGUCGACCCCUAAGGCGAGGCUGAAAAGCGUAGUCGAUGGGAAACAGGUUAAUAUUCCUGUACUUGGUGUUACUGCGAAGGGGGGACGGAGAAGGCUAGGCUAGCCGGGCGACGGUUGUCCCGGUUUAAGCAUGUAGGCGGAGUGACCAGGUAAAUCCGGUUGCUUAUCAACGCUGAGGUGUGAUGACGAUGCACUACGGUGCAGAAGUAGUUGAUGCCAUGCUUCCAGGAAAAGCCUCUAAGCAUCAGGUAACAUGAAAUCGUACCCCAAACCGACACAGGUGGUCAGGUAGAGAAUACUCAGGCGCUUGAGAGAACUCGGGUGAAGGAACUAGGCAAAAUGGUGCCGUAACUUCGGGAGAAGGCACGCUGGCAUUAGGUAAAGGGACUUGCUCCCGGCGCCGAAGCCAGUCGCAGAUACCAGCUGGCUGCAACUGUUUAAUAAAAACACAGCACUGUGCAAACACGAAAGUGGACGUAUACGGUGUGACGCCUGCCCGGUGCUGGAAGGUUAAUUGAUGGGGUCAGCCGCAAGGCGAAGCUCUUGAUCGAAGCCCCAGUAAACGGCGGCCGUAACUAUAACGGUCCUAAGGUAGCGAAAUUCCUUGUCGGGUAAGUUCCGACCUGCACGAAUGGCGUAAUGAUGGCCAGGCUGUCUCCACCCGAGACUCAGUGAAAUUGAACUCGCUGUGAAGAUGCAGUGUACCCGCGGCAAGACGGAAAGACCCCGUGAACCUUUACUAUAGCUUGACACUGAACAUUGAGCCUUGAUGUGUAGGAUAGGUGGGAGGCAUAGAAGUGUGGACGCCAGUCUGCAUGGAGCCAACCUUGAAAUACCACCCUUUAAUGUUUGAUGUUCUAACUCGGCCCCGUAAUCCGGGGUGAGGACAGUGUCUGGUGGGUAGUUUGACUGGGGCGGUCUCCUCCCAAAGAGUAACGGAGGAGCACGAAGGUUAGCUAAUCACGGUCGGACAUCGUGAGGUUAGUGCAAAGGCAUAAGCUAGCUUGACUGCGAGAGUGACGGCUCGAGCAGGUACGAAAGUAGGUCUUAGUGAUCCGGUGGUUCUGAAUGGAAGGGCCAUCGCUCAACGGAUAAAAGGUACUCCGGGGAUAACAGGCUGAUACCGCCCAAGAGUUCAUAUCGACGGCGGUGUUUGGCACCUCGAUGUCGGCUCAUCACAUCCUGGGGCUGAAGUAGGUCCCAAGGGUAUGGCUGUUCGCCAUUUAAAGUGGUACGCGAGCUGGGUUUAGAACGUCGUGAGACAGUUCGGUCCCUAUCUGCCGUGGGCGUUGGAAGAUUGAGAGGGGCUGCUCCUAGUACGAGAGGACCGGAGUGGACGAAUCACUGGUGUUCGGGUUGUCAUGCCAAUGGCAUUGCCCGGUAGCUAAAUUCGGAAGAGAUAACCGCUGAAAGCAUCUAAGCGGGAAACUUGCCUCGAGAUGAGUCUUCCCUGGGGCUUUAAGCCCCCUGAAGGAACGUUAAAGACGAUGACGUUGAUAGGCUGGGUGUGUAAGUGCAGCGAUGCAUUGAGCUAACCAGUACUAAUGAACCGUGAGGCUUAACCUU